ACAGAGGAGAAGGUUGGAAGCAGGAAAAUGGGGCCUUUGCUGGAAUCUGUAAGACUGGCUGCUUCAUGUUAAGGCCGAUGAAUGUGUAAGAACAAUACAAUAAACACAUUCCUUAAUCUGAAGGUUCAAUACCUGCUAAGCCAAGGAAUGCUCUUUGGUCUUCAUUUUCCUUCAGAUCCACAGCCUGACCAAUGAUCCUUCAACAGUGGGGGUUUUAUCCUGACAAUGUGACAGCAACUUUAAUGGUUCACAGGUGGAGGCCAAUGAAAUAACCACCAGGUAUUAUAAACCUGAUUCAAACUUAUUUUGGAGUCUGGUCCAGAAGAAACGACUGACCUCUACUGAUCCUUCUGUGACCAGAGUAUGGUGGAAAGUGCAAUCUUUUCCUUCAUUGCCUCCAAGUCCAUUCACCGUUUUCCAGAAGUACAGUCAUCUGAUGGUCUCUGGAUCAAAUCCACCGCAAAGGGUAUUUUAUUUGGUCCCUACCUAAUUUUAAUCAAGGUGAGGGGGGCGUAUCCUGUUCACUGGCUGCAUCUGGCUGAAGGGCUUCAGCUGUGUCUGGGGUGCUCUGCAGCUGAGGGGGAGAAGGAGCUGGGUUCUCAGGAGUUUCCUCCAUUUCUCCUUCUGGGUCUGCUGCUGUUACUCCCGAGUCAUCCUCAUCUGAUGAGUCGUCUGAUGAGUCGUCUGAUGAGUCCUCUGACGGGGCCAUGACAGCAUAUUAAUGUGCCCUAGCACAGUUUGGGAACUGCUGUUGAAAAUCCUUUCUGAUCCUUGGAAAAAAUAUUAGUAAGCUGAUAGGUCUGAAUCCCUGUAAUUGCCGCAAAUGGAUUACACUUCUGAUCCACUGAAUUUACACUCUCCCAAGUUUGAUUCAUCUGUACUGGAAUUAAUGUUGGUGUAACAAGGAAACUACUGAACUAAAUAAAAAC